GCUCCAUCAGCUCAGUUGGUCAGAGCGUGGGUCUAAUAAACCCAAGGUCGCCGGUUCGAGCCCGGCAGGGAGUA
rnacentral:tRNA from 1 species